rnacentral:lncRNA from 1 species
CCAGAGGACCUGGAUCUCAACUGAAAAGACAGUAUUUCAGUUUCAGAACUUUCAGCAAGUGGGCCUUUUGAAAGUCAUGAUUUUCUUCGGAAAGGUUUUUCUUGUGUGAAAAAUGAAAUUUUGCCCAGUCAUCCUCUUAAAUUAUCAGAAAAAAAUUUCCAGUUCAACCAAGAUAAAAUGAAUUUUUCCACUCUGAGAAACAUCCAAGGUUUAUUUGCUC